CGUGUAGGCGGCUCAUCAAGUCUGGUGUGAAAACGCAAGGCUUAAACCUUGCGGUUGCGCUGGAAACUGGUGGGCUUGAGUUCUUGAGGGGAAGCUGGAAUUCCAGGUGUAGGGGGUGAAAUCUGUAGAUAUCUGGAAGAACACCGGUGGCGAAGGCGAGCUUCUAUCAGAGGACUGACGCUGAGGCGCGAAAGGCGUGGGGAGCAAACAGGAUUAGAUACCCUGGUAGUCCAACGCUGUAAACGAUGUGCACUAGGCGUGGGGCCCGUACGGGUUCUGUGCCGUAAUUAACGUGUUAAGUGCACCGCCUGGGGAGUAUGCUCGCAAGGGUGAA
rnacentral:rRNA from 1 species